ACUCCAAGAAGGUUGACCGCACUGUUAUGAACCAGCUUCCGACGUGGGCCGGGCGGUAAGCACACCAAAUUGGGCUGAUCGGUGGAGUAACCCGCCUAUACAACAGCAACCAAACAAGCCUCCCCUUCUCUACAUAUACAGCCCACCUAGUUAGCCUGGAGACCAAACACAAUCUACAGUAGGCCUACAUACACCUACCACCCAACCAAACACCAAGGCCUUCCCCCAUUUAGACUGCCUUGGGCUGCCCAGGCUACAGAACUAAGCCUGGCUAGUCUAAGUCCAACAACCAAACAGCCCCUAAAGUGAUGAUUGAAAGAAGCUUGGUUAGUGUAAGGCUCUCUUGUUUGCUUAUGUUUGUGAACAACAUGGGCACCAAUUUUGAUGCCAUUUCUUUCAGGGUGUAGCCUGCCUGUCUGUUUGAUGAAAUGUGAUGGAGAUGAUGUGGGUUCUGAAGAAAAUGAAGUUGAGAAAUGACAACCUCUUCCCGAUGAACAAAGGACUGAAGAUGAUCCUGAAUCGUCAUGGCUUUGAUGUCAAACCAGAGAUGGUUAAACAACAACAACAACAUAGCAUGAAAGAAUUAUUCUGAUGGCAUGCCUCUUGCUGGAUUGUGAAUAUUGUGAUGUGAAAAACUAAAAACCCUUGCGUUUGGCUGAUUAACACCUUAAGGAUGUGUCUAGCAUUAACUUCGAAGUGAAGCUGAAACCUUAAGGUGUUUCAGCUGGGACUUGAUGUUGUGAUGGCACUGAAGAUUAUGUUACCCUGCUGAAACAACUAUGGCUGAGAAAGCGAUGUUUACACAUGUUGAGGCGUUGAAGUUUGAGAAGGAUGCAGAUAAAUUUGAAGCUAAGACCAAUAUGGGCAUUUGCUUGAAUGUUUACAAUGAGAUGGUGGAAGAUUCGCAAUGGUACAAUAUCUAUGCCUUAAUCUUUCAUGUUUAGGUAAAAAUACUUUCUUUACAUUUAUUAUUUCCAUAUCUCUGUUUAGUGGGUUAACUGAACCUAAAAGAAUGUGAGUUAGCUGUAAAAUGGUAAAAGACUUCUCCAUAUAAAAAAAGGAGUUAAAUGCACACUUGGUACUGCACCUGAUCAUUUGGUUCGGGUCCGGUCAGAAAGAGCCCUUCGCCAAAGGCAGAGCAUGGCAGCAGGAUUCGAGCAGAGCAGCAACUGCAACCUAGCCUGUAUUCUAGACUUCUGGUUAGUUCAAUAUUUCUUUUGUUGGUUCCAACUCUUUUUUCCUAUAUAAUUUU